AGGUAUUUGAGUAUAUGGGGAUAAAUGUCUCACAUUCAACGACCAGCAUGCGUGUAAAAAACAAAUGGGGGAUAAAAUCCCCCAUUUUUAUUUCUU
rfam:Erwinia carotovora subsp. atroseptica SCRI1043, complete genome